CCUCUCCCAGCUCUGCGUGGUCGCAGCGGCCUCACCCGUGCGGCCUUCGUAAUGGGGAGAGAGAGAGAAGACCCCCUGGGGACCCGGGGCUGGCCUCCCGGUGGCCUCUCCUGCCCUUGGGGGCGCGACAGGC